rnacentral:rRNA from 1 species
CCUACGGGUGGCAGCAGUGGGGAAUAUUGGACAAUGGGCGGAAGCCUGAUCCAGCAAUGCCGCGUGUGUGAAGAAGGCCUGCGGGUUGUAAAGCACUUUAAGCAGGAAAGAAGGGGCGGGGGUUAAUACCCCCUGUCAUUGACGUUACCUGCAGAAUAAGCACCGGCUAACUCCGUGCCAGCAGCCGCGGUAAUACGGAGGGUGCGAGCGUUAAUCGGAAUUACUGGGCGUAAAGCGCGCGUAGGCGGUGGGCUAAGUCCGCUGUGAAAGCCCUGGGCUUAACCUGGGAACUGCAGUGGAUACUGGUCGACUAGAGUGUGGUAGAGGGUAGCGGAAUUUCCGGUGUAGCAGUGAAAUGCGUAGAGAUCGGAAGGAACACCAGUGGCGAAGGCGGCUAUCUGGACCAACACUGACGCUGAGGUGCGAAAGCGUGGGGAGCAAACAGGAUUAGAUACCCUAGUAGUC